rnacentral:rRNA from 1 species
UUAUGGUCAUAUCACGUUGAAUCACCGGUUCUCGUACGAUCACCGAAGUUAAGCAACGUCGAGCCUGCUCAGUACCUAGAUGGGUGACUGCUUGGGAAUAGCAGGUGAUUG